GCUUCCACACAAUGCCGGCGCCGCCCCUGCUUCCACUCGCCGCUAGCGCCACUUCCUCCCUCGCUCCUGGUGCCGCCCCCUGCUUCCACCCAACGUAGAGCCGCCCCUGCUUCCACCCGCUACCGGCGCCGCCCUCACUCCCAGCUUCCCCCGCCAUCGGCGUGCCUCCCUGCUUCUGAGCGCCACCAUUGCCACCCUGCAUCCAGCCGUCUCCGUCGGGAGCCACCCUAGCGCCACCAACCGCCGCGACCAGCCGUCCCUACCACCGUCUUGGCGACCCUCCCCCAACCCCGCAGUGGACCGUCGCAUCUGCGUCGCUGCAUCCCGCGGCCACUGCGCACCGUCCAAGUCGGCAGUCCAACUGCUUGCUCCAUGCUCGGUCGCUCAAGGAGCUGCAUGAAGGUCACCCCGUGCUCCACCUUCCGGACACGCGCCCCUGUUGCCGUGCUCCUGCAGCCACCUCCGGGCGGUGUGCCCGGCCUCCUCUCUCCUCCUGCCAUCUCCUAGUGCCACGUCGAGCACACCCCGGGCUGCCUCUUUCUCUUGCUUACUCCCGCACGAGGCACGCUGCCGAGCACGCACCCGGCCGCCCGACCUCCGGCCAUGGUUUCCCACAAUGCUAAUGCUACUAGAAAGGAGCUAGAGGCCAUGAAGCCUCUUGGCUUGUCCAAUUAGCAUGUUUGGCCAGUCCUGAAGCGCUUCCUCAAGCUCUUCAACAAUAACUGGGCUCCCAUCGAAGACGAGUGCUACCGCAUCCUUAUUGACACCAUAUUGGGUGGCAAAAGCAAUGAACCAAUACCUACCACUACACGUCAUGUGACGUGCGAAAAAGAGUCCAAGGCUCACAACCCAACACGGGGUCAGACCAGAUGACCAACACCUCUCCUUCUCAGUAUGACAAGGAUGUCAGUGAUAAUGAAAACCUCCCUCACAGCAGAGCGGCUGAGUGCAUACUUGCCAUCUACAUUUCAGAGCCCCAUCAGUUCAGUGUGAUCUCUCCCGGACGACCUCGUCCUUCGUCUGCUUCUCAUUUCCAGCCACAUCCAGGACGACCUGGACUUGCUGCCACUAGCUGUUGGUGCACCUCAUGUUAGCUCCUAGCUGUUACCUAGUGUGCUUGAUGCUACCGCUACAAAGAAGGUCGAAGGAGCUCCCUUCAGUUCAAUGGAUUCAACAAAAUAAUCGCUGCCACUACAUCCUGAGUUCAAGGGAUUCCUUAGGGGCCUUCUACACCGUCUUGCUAAUGUUGCCAUUGCUGGACGCCACAACCAUGCUCGUCGUUCUUGUGCUACCAUUCACAUACUGCUCCCUGCUUUACUCCACCGAUAUCCAUAGGAAUAAGUUAUAUUCAGUUUGCCACUUUUAUAAUUGAUGCUCCUAUGUUAACAAAAACAAUAGUUGAAGCUCCUAAAAAGCAAUUAUAUGUAUGCUGCAUCACUUUGGGGAACUACAGCAAACAAAAUGAGGAGAGCUUGGUAGUACUUGAUUUGUUAUAGUACUACUUGAACCCUUUCUGUUGAAUA